rnacentral:lncRNA from 1 species
GGGUGUGCCGACUUGUAUUUAGUUGGGGGUUGUGGAAGUCACGGCUGGGGGAAAAGCGUCCGGUGGUUUGUUGGUAAAGAGGGGCACCACUUUCAGAUAAAAACAUAGACCUGAAUGGCAUCAUCCAGUAUCCAAGGAAACCAUUGUGUCUGUAACCAGCUAAUGAGCUGCAACAGAGCCUGGCCUUCAUUUUCAGCAAAUUAAGUUCAUCCCUCAUAGGAAUUGUGGUCUGGCUGUGGCACCGCUCCUAGGUUCUCUAAACAUGAAUAUGCCUUUGGGGGAAGACAGAAGAACAUGGAAGCCAUGUGAAAAAAACGGAUCCUAAGGCAGUUUUGAACAUCUGGAGGCCUGAUUUAUUGGAGAUUGCAAAUGUACAGUGUAACAUAGCUGUGGAGAGAUCUCACAUGAGAUGGCAAAGAGGUCAAGACAAAAAUUCUGCAUUUGGGAAAAGAAUAACACAUGGACUUCCUCCUACAGGAUUAUAGGACUGUGUAUGUCCUACACACACAUUAUAUGUCCUACACGCACAGUGAUGAGGAGUGACAAAAUGAAGACUCCAGAAUCCUCUUUAUCAGAUCCUGAAUGUGCACUUUCUGAAGUGAAGUCCACUAUGUGCUGGGCACACAGAGAAUAGAGCAUGAAACAAAAGCAACAUGACCCUGCCCUCACCAAGACUACAGGGAGUGAUGGAGCAUACAACUUUGUUUCAGAAUGCAAUUCAGAUCUUCCCUUUCGCUUGGCUUCUUAAAACUUCUUUUGAGGAUGGUAAAAUUUCGUGUUAUAUUAAAUUUCAUCCUGUAACUGAUACUCUGGGAUGAUGUUGGCCAAUAACUAGCAAGACUUUAAAUAAUCAACUAGUUUAGGCAUUGCUUAGCACGCUCCAGCUGACUUCACAAGUAAAACCAUGUGAAGAAAGAAGGUUUUCAGGUAACACAGAUGGAGGUGAUGAUCUUUCUCAUUUUGUGGAAAAUAUUAAUUUCUCAUUUUUUAUUCACUGACAAUUAGUAAAAUUCCUUACUCUACCUAAUAUGUAGACUUCUGAACUAUGUAAGUAAAACUUUAUAGUAACUGAAAAGUUUGGGUAUUGUAUUUUCUUGGAGAAAAUGUUAGCUUCCCUCUGUUACUUUUAAAUGUUAAACUUUUAAUGAAUUUCAUCAAUGUAUAAUAAUGGGCAUAAUGAUCCACUCUGAAAUAUUUACUGUCAUUUUGAAUUUAUUCUUGAGUCAUCACAAACGUGUACAUCUCUUAUACCUUCAUGGAUGUUAUUGGUGAGAUGAUCUCUUGUUGUCAACACCUUGAGGAUAGGGACUUAUUCAGGCUCGCCUCUAGCAAGUGCUAAGUGCCUGGGAACACAUAAUAAAUAUUUCAUGAUAGGAGGAUGUUAGAAUAAGAGGAAAAACCAGAUUCUUACCCAAAUAAAUAAUAUUUAUUAUAUUCUUAUUUGUAUAUCAUUGUAACUGUAAAAAAAAGUUGCCUAGGGAUUUGUUUUAUUUGUACAAAUACUUGUUUUUUGUAUGUAAGAGUGCCAAAUAUAAAACUGCAUAACAUUUAGAAAUUACAGAAAUGUGUAUAUAUUUAUAUAGAGACAAGAAAAAUAAAAUUUUCAUUCUAUCAUAUAGAAAUAACUACAUUUGAAGUUAUUUCCCUCCUAUAUGUAAACUUUUACAUAGUUAAGUUUAUACAAUAUAUUUGCUUUCAAAACUCAUUUUCCAAUUAAACAUUAUAUCCAUUAGAAUGUUCAUGACAUCCUUUAUUUAUGCCUUAAAAUUUUUUUAAAUACGGUAAUGUAUAUGUCUACAACCAUUUCUGUUAUCUAAAAUGUGGGGCUAUUAUUAAUAAUAGUAAUUGCAGUCAUUUCCAGAGAGAGUUUGUUCUGUGCUAGACAUUGUGUACUUUUUACAACUAAUUUGUUAGGCUAGUUACUACAUUUAAUUUCAAGUGAAAGAGUUUAACAGAAGUUAAACAGGCCAGGCGCGGUGGCUCACACCUGCAAUCCCAGCACUUUGCGAGGCCGAGGUGGGCGGAUCACUUGAGGUCAGGAGUUUGAGACCAGCCUGGCCAACAUGGUGAAAACCCAUCUCUACUGUUAACACAAAAAUUAGCAGGGCAUGGUUGCAUGCACCUGUAAUCCCAGCUACUUGGGAGGCUGAGGCCGGAGAAUCGCUUAAGCCCAGAGGUGAAGGUUGCAGUGAGCCAAGAUUGCGCCAGUGCAGUCCAACCUCGGCAACAGGGCAAAGACCGUCUGCCCCUGCA